UACGUAGGGUGCGAGCGUUGUCCGGAAUUAUUGGGCGUAAAGAGCUUGUAGGCGGUUUGUCGCGUCUGCUGUGAAAAUCCGAGGCUCAACCUCGGGCCUGCAGUGGGUACGGGCAGACUGGAGUGCGGUAGGGGGAGAAUGGAAUUCCUGGUGUAGCGGUGGAAUGCGCAGAUAUCAGGAGGAACACCGAUGGCGAAGGCAGUUCUCUGGGCCGUAACUGACGCUGAGGAGCGAAAGCGUGGGGAGCGAACAGG
rnacentral:rRNA from 1 species